AAUACUAACUGCUUUCACCUGUGUGUAUUUUUAUGAGACAGCGAACUAGUAGUAUAUAAACCCGGGCUUUAGUUAGGUUCGUUGCGAGGUAUUGUUUUCCCGAGACUUACUGAGCGUUUAUAUUCUGAUUGUCUGACUUCCGUGUUUUUGACCACUGGUUUGUUUCUCCCGUUUUGUACUUUGCUUCAUCCCUCUGGUACUUUUGCCUUUACUGAUUGAUCUGUGUUUUUUGACUUUUUGCCUGUUUCACGACGACGACUUUGCUGUGCCCUUUUUGCUCUGUUUGCUGUUGGUUACUAAACUGUCAUCAACUUUCCAUCCGCAAGCGUCUGGUUUCUGUUGAACUGUCACAGUAACAGCGUUUGUUCCCUGAAAGUACCUUCAACAACUAGCCGUCGAAUGCUGGCAAGACUGAAGACCAUCUUAGCAGUGCAUUUUCCCUUAAGCUUGCAUUUCCCUCCUGUACAACACUGGACAAAUUGUUUGCCACUGCAGCUGAUGUGAAGAGGAUGCUCACCCUACUGGCAACUCCUCAGCUGCUACUGCUUGCUAGGGUUGUAAAGAAUCUGCUUAAGUCACCAACAAUUAUUUCAGUAAAAUGGCACUAUCCUUGCUGCAAGUGGUUUCACUUGGUUUUCAUUUGUUUUUUUUUUUCAGGUGAGAAAACAGCAAGCUAUAUUGAAUGCUGGACCAGGCUUGCUUCUGUGUUUUCUACAUACAGUUUCAAUCUUCAGUAUCAAAGAGAAGCCGCAUGCAUUCUGAAAUCCAUUCAAAGGUUAUGUGUUCACACCCAUUUCACAUGGAACCAUGACUGAUGAAACCUGUAAGCUUUUAUAUAGUUUAGUCCAGUCCAGUAGUAUUCAAAUUUGCUGUAUAAAUCAAAUUAACUAGAACAUUCAUUCAAAAUGCCUCUAAUAGUGAGUCUAAUAAUGCACUUAGUUCUUGUCUAUUGAAGGAGAAACAGCAAGCUAAACAUCUCUUCCAGUCAAACUUCUUAGUUGUGUCCAGGUGUUUAACUUGACAUUUCUCAAUCAGUGAAGGAAGCCCCAUGCAGUGCAAGUCCAGUGCAACCAUGUGACAUCACUCUCCCAAAGUGCACUCCAAUGGCAGUCCACUAGCAUUAGGAUUAAGUCUACUUUUGAUAAUAAGUAAAACUAGAAGAGGGAAAUUUGUGGUCAGAUUUCGUGUUGACUUGACAAAGUGAGCUGGAGAUGCUUGAAAAGUAAAAGUAGUCAAAGCUGUUGUAACGUGUUGGGAGACAAGAAGGCAGGAUGCGUGUAAGAGUUAGCAGUUUUAUUGUUGUCCAUGGAGAAAGUAGCAAAGAAAGAACCAGAAACAAAAGAAAAGUAAAAUGAGACAAGCACUAAAGAAAUGAAGAGAACCACCAAAAGCAAAGAAAAGAGAACAAAAUACACAGGAAUAGCUACUCAAACUAAGAAUCAGCAAAACGCACUACAAACAACACCAAGGCAAGGAGCAGACCAAACCAAGGGGAAUAAAUAAACAAAAGAACACAUGAGACACACCUGGGGCUAAUGAGAGGGCGGGGCUACAGACUACACACAGGUGGGACAGAUGACUGGGGAGAAGACAGACCUAACAACAAAAGCACAUGGAACAAGACUCAGACGGGAAGAUAAAGGCAGACACUGACAGAAACAAGGAAAGACAAAGCGGGAUCAAACUGGAUUAUACAGCUGUAGACUGUUGUACAAAGAUUAUUGUCAAAGUUCUUGUUUAUGCUGACAUGACAUCCAAAGAGAACAAGAUUUAACAAUAUAUAUAUAUUUUAUAUGGGUAAUGUCUAAGUUGAUUUGCUUUUAAUUUUAAUGCCUAAAUGGUUUAUUUGUUAAAAAUACAUUUUCUGAUAUGAAAAUGUGCAAAGGUUUUGCAAGUGUAAUCACCAAGACUUUAUUUACAAUAGAGCAAGACAUUUUUCAAGACAUACUCUGCUUUUGCCUCAUUUUUAGGUCACAUGAUUUAAAUUCCCAUGUCAGCAGUUCACUGAAAUAAUAAAACCUUUCAUACAUAUUACAUUUCUGGCCAGUUUAACAAGCAAUAGAAACACAAUGUAUAGAAAGAAUCUGCAGCUAUACCUGUCAGGAAAGUUAAUGCACCCUCAUCAAAAAAGGUAAUGAACUGUUAACCUCUAGCUGUAUUAUACUGUAAAUGUACUAAAUUAUGGUUAUAUCCUAUAUUUGUAAAAAAUGAAAAACUGCACAUUUUUACAACAGAAGGAUACAGGUAAUUUAACAGUAAGUUCCUGGCAAUGCUGCUGCCAGUUCUUUUUCAGUUUUUUUACAGUGAAAUUUUUUACAGUAUGGAGAUCUGCACAAGUGCAGUAGCCAGAACAACCUGAAAAAUCAUGUUUUUUGUGUGUUAUUGAGCCAAAUUCUGCAAACUAUUUGAGGUUUUUAUCUGAUUUCAAAUAUAUUUUGAAACAGAAAUUGGUCUGUCCCCAUUCAAAGAGAGACGAGCCUGGUCUUGAAUGAAUGGAAAUAACUGCCCGAUCUCGCAGCACUUGUUGGAGAUGAAAUCGAAGCUCUCAAAAUAAAUGCUGGAAAUAAAAACUAUAGAGUAAAGUGGCCAUAUGUAAAAAAAAUUGUAAGGAAAUCCCCUUUGUGAGACUGUAUAGUACUUAAUGCAUAUGAUUUUUGCAAUUUUGGACCAUGAUUAAAUAAGUUAUUCAGUUUUUGCUAUUCAAAACAUCAAUUAAAAUUCAAUAAUUUCUUCAGUUGCUGCUUGUUCCGUGAUUGUAGGCAUUACAGUAAAGAAACUACUGAUUAUUGUGUGUGCGAAUGCAUUUGGUUUUAAAAUUUAAAACAACCUUACAGUAAAGAAGCCAGUGAUUUAUUUAUUUUUUUUAAUGUUUAUAAAACAUAAAUUUAAAAUUGAACAAUAGUUUAUUAAAAUUUGAUUUGCUGUAUUAAGUUGCAAUAAUAGAACAGUCUUUAAUGCCUUGUGUUUUACAGUUUGGGGCCCUAAAGUAAAGAAGCUAUAAAGUAUAUUAAUCAUAACUUAUAGAAGCCCUGAACUAUUUACACAGCUCAAGUGUGGCUCUGUGGCAGCAGGCAGGUUUAUCAGGUAAGUUUGGAGAACUAUUCAUGCUUGAUGUCAAAACCAUAGACUAUAGCUCAAUUAAAAAGGAUAGGGAAUUCAUCAAAGUUAAUGAGGAGCAAACACGAAAUAACUUUUUUCCUUUCACUGUGCAGACGAAUGUAUAGCUAUGUUAACUAGUCGUUUUUUUGUGUAUUUUGCACACAGAUUUAACUCUCUUUACAACUUGCUCUUUGGCAAUCACCAGUCAUUAAUGUUAGCUAUGUAGCUACCAAGAGCUCUGUAGCAGCAAGACAAUCAUUUAUUCAAUAUGAUUAAUAAAAUCUUUUUCAUUUUUACUAUUUUGGAGAGGAACCGAUAAAGUAACACAGAUGAUGGCAUGUGAAGACUUGGCACAGGUGAGUGUUACACCCUGCUGUGUUAAAUGUUAACUUGCACAUCAGUUACUGCCUGAAACCAACGUAGUUAUUUUAAAACUACAUCUUUGGAUAAUGUAACUGUUUAUCAAGCUGAGUGUGAUGCCUCUCAGCUGCCUACCUUCAGUGUCAUAAUGGCGCUAGUCUGAUCUAUGGAUAUGCUUUAAAAUGAUUGUUUCUGUAGGGCUGUUCUUACAUUUCCCCCCUGAAGCAACAUGACAUGUUUAUCUUUGGAGGUUGAUUGCUGCUUAAGGAUUGUAAAGUAGUUGAGAACUAUAGAGUAAAAAAGCUGAUAGAAUGCACCAGUUCUACCACCAAAAAACAGUACCUUAGUAUGUCCUUGUCUGUUUUAGUGAUCUAGAAAAUUUAAAUUGAUGGAAAAAAAAGAGUUACAGUCGAACCACUAGAUGUCUGCCAGACCUUAACAAGUUCAGAAAAUUAAGUUUCAGUAUCUGUAAAUAUGUGUUAAACAUUGUAUUGAGACAUAAUUACUCUGGGAGACAACCAUGGGCAAGUAAUCAUGGGUUGGUUUGUUUAUUUAUGUAUUUAUGUUGGAUCAUGUACUGACGCAUAGCUGAUAAUCCAUUCUGCCUUAGUCCUUUCCAUUUUCUGAGCAGCAGGAAAAAAAUUGGGUUUCCCUCAAGGUAAUGUUACAAAAUUCACAAGUCAUAGAAAGACCCAGAGCAGCCAUUCUUAAUCCUGCUCCUGGUGACCCGCUACAACUGCACAGUUUUAAUACCUCUGAUCCAGCUCUUGAAGGGCUUCAUACUCAGUUUAGAGCUGGAUCAGUUGUAUUAAGUCAGGGAAUAAUUGAAACCAUGCAAAGCUGUGGGUUACCAGGAACAGGGUUACAGUAGUAGACAGGUGGUCUGUUUGACCCCCCAGUGUAUGUAAUUACAGGUAAGAUCAAGUGCCAUUAAUAUCAGCAAGGAUGUGCAGCUCUGGUGGAGGACCUCUGUCUAAUUACCUGGUUCGGUAGGUGAGUUUGAGCAGAGAAAUCACCAGGCUGUGCUGAACUGUGGCGCUCCGGGGCCAGAACUGUCCUGAAAUACACCAUUAAUUGCUGGAGUGCAGCUGCUUUUAUGGCCCAUUUUACUGUGUGUGUGUGUGUGUGUGUGUGUGUGUGUGUAUUGUGACUUCAGUUUGGGUAGAAGCACAUUGUAUUGACGUCCUGACAUAAAAAUGAGUGACUUGAUAUGACGACUGUAAAAUCUUUGUCAUCGAAUUUAUGUACCCUUUUGCUACUGUGACUGUUAAGGAAUUCUUUGUAGGCUCUGUAGUCACUGGAGUCAGUUUAUUGAAUUAAAUUGCCCCCUUGUGGUCGAAUUCUUAGCCCCAGUGUCCCUGAAGAUUAAGAGGGGAAAACUGGUAAAAACUGGUGUAACCCACAAACCGUGGCAUAUCUAGCGUUUUGGUUAUAGUUAUUUUCAUCUAUCCAUCGAUUUAUCACUCUGUUGAUGUCAGCUGACAUUACUGUACUCUAAUAGCUAAAAAGGAGUUUUUCCACGAAUCAUUUUCAUUUGUAUCUUUUAUUUAGUGUGGACUUCCGCAUUAUUGUGCGUUUGGUUCACCAUUCUGGACACAUCCUCAAAUUUCAAUCUUGGCAAUUAUGACAAAGAUAAAGUGAGACACCUUUCUGUGGUGAGCUGAAGUGAUACGAACGCC